GCGCCGUUAGCUCAGCUGGUAGAGCGGCCGACUUUUAAUCGGCUUGUCGCAGGUUCGAGCCCUGCACGGCGCAC
rnacentral:tRNA from 1 species